rnacentral:rRNA from 1 species
UCUUCCCUCUUUCUUCGUGCCUAAUACAUGCAAGUCGAGCGAACAGACGAGGAGCUUGCUCCUCUGACGUUAGCGGCGGACGGGUGAGUAACACGUGGAUAACCUACCUAUAAGACUGGGAUAACUUCGGGAAACCGGAGCUAAUACCGGAUAAUAUAUUGAACCGCAUGGUUCAAUAGUGAAAGACGGUUUUGCUGUCACUUAUAGAUGGAUCCGCGCCGCAUUAGCUAGUUGGUAAGGUAACGGCUUACCAAGGCGACGAUGCGUAGCCGACCUGAGAGGGUGAUCGGCCACACUGGAACUGAGACACGGUCCAGACUCCUACGGGAGGCAGCAGUAGGGAAUCUUCCGCAAUGGGCGAAAGCCUGACGGAGCAACGCCGCGUGAGUGAUGAAGGUCUUCGGAUCGUAAAACUCUGUUAUUAGGGAAGAACAAAUGUGUAAGUAACUAUGCACGUCUUGACGGUACCUAAUCAGAAAGCCACGGCUAACUACGUG